rnacentral:rRNA from 1 species
GACGAACGCUGGCGGCGUGCUUAACACAUGCAAGUCGAACGGAAAGGCCUUUUCGGAGGUACUCGAGUGGCGAACGGGUGAGUAACACGUGGGUGAUCUGCCCUGCACUCUGGGAUAAGCCUGGGAAACUGGGUCUAAUACCGGAUAGGACCGCACUUUUGUGUGUGUGGUGGAAAGUUUUUUCGGUGUAGGAUGAGCCCGCGGGCUAUCAGCUUGUUGGUGGGGUAAUGGCCUACCAAGGCGGCGACGGGUAGCCGGACUGAGAGGUUGGUCGGCCACAUUGGGACUGAGAUACGGCCCAGACUCCUACGGGAGGCAGCAGUGGGGAAUAUUGCACAAUGGGCGCAAGCCUGAUGCAGCGACGCCGCGUGGGGGAUGACGGCCUUCGGGUUGUAAACUCCUUUCGCCAGGGACGAAGCGUUUUGUGACGGUACCUGGAGAAGAAGCACCGGCUAACUACGUG